rnacentral:misc_RNA from 1 species
GAUGAAGAACGCAGCGAAAUGCGAUAAGUAAUGUGAAUUGCAGAAUUCAGUGAAUCAUCGAAUCUUUGAACGCACAUUGCGCCCGCUGGUAUUCCGGCGGGCAUGCCUGUUCGAGCGUCAUUUCAACCCUCAAGCUCUCCGGAGUUUGGUGUUGGGGCGCCUGGGGCUUUUCGACCUCAGGGCCCUCAAGUCCAUCGGCGGGACCGCCAGGACACUGAGCGCAGUAGUAUUAUUUCGCUCGGUAGGAUCUUCCACGGCGGGUCGAUCUGGCCGCUAAACCCCCCAAUUCACACCAAAGGUUGACCUCGGAUCAGGUAGGAAUACCCGCUGAACUUAAGCAUAUCAAUAAGCGGAGGA